CAGCGUGAUAUGCAGCAUGAUAAAGACCUUCAAAAAUCUAGUUCUUACACAGAAACCAUCCUAGCCUUGACUUCUCCACAACACUCAGAGAAACACAAGACUCAGGAAUUCCUUUCCAUUCAACAAGAGACUCUGCACAUGAUUCUUUACCUUAGAUGCUGCACCAAGUCAUCACAAACCUACAGGAAUAAGAGAGAGGAGUUUCAUGUUUCUUACCAUACUUUGUGAAACAUCUCUUAAAAGCAUGUCGUUGGUAAU